rnacentral:lncRNA from 1 species
AGACUUUGUGGCAAGGACAAACUAUUGAUUUACAUUAUUAUAAACAUGAAUUGUGAAUUUAACUAUAAUCUUUGGUGGUUCAGGUGAAGACAAGUGAUGAAAGUUCUCUUUGUCUUGGGUACAACAAAGAACUGUUGAUGGGUAUUACAGGGAUGAAAUAUUAAUGAUGGACUUUAAAGUUGGAGGAGAUAGUAGAUAUUAUGUUCUACUUGACUCUUCUAAUGGUUUGGUGUUUCUACUGCAGUUGUUGAUCUAAAACUUGUUGUCUAUUG